AUUGAACGCUGGCGGCAGGCCUAACACAUGCAAGUCGAACGGUGACAGGAAGCAGCUUGCUGCUUCGCUGACGAGUGGCGGACGGGUGAGUAAUGUCUGGGAAGCUGCCUAAUGGAGGGGGAUAACUACUGGAAACGGUAGCUAAUACCGCAUAGUGUCGCAAGACCAAAGAGGGGGACCUUCGGGCCUCUUGCCAUCUGAUGUGCCCAGAUGGGAUUAGCUUGUUGGUGGGGUAACGGCUCACCAAGGCGACGAUCCCUAGCUGGUCUGAGAGGAUGACCAGCCACACUGGGACUGAGACACGGUCCAGACUCCUACGGGAGGCAGCAGUGGGGAAUAUUGCACAAUGGGCGCAAGCCUGAUGCAGCCAUGCCGCGUGUAUGAAGAAGGCCUUCGGGUUGUAAAGUACUUUCAGCGGGGAGGAAGGGAGUAAAGUUAAUACCUUUGCUCAUUGACGUUACCCGCAGAAGAAGCACCGGCUAACUCCGUG
rnacentral:rRNA from 1 species